ACUAAUUCCGAAAACAGGAUAUACAGCCUGAAAGUGGAGUGCGGACCUAAAUAUCCCGAAGUACCACCGACUGUUAGAUUUGUAACAAAAAUUAGCAUGAAUGGAAUAAAUAAUUCCAAUGGGAUGGCAGGAAGAAAGCACAUCCACGUUGCACCCAUGGAAUCGUGGGUAUAUUGAUGGCUGUUAAUUGUGAAGUGGGUGAGAUGAGGCAAGUUGGUGAAGGAAGCAGAGGUGGGGCUCAGGAGAAUUUCAUCUGAAAGCGUCUCACCGUCCACAUGUGCAAACAAGAAGCUCUGGACAACACGGCCGUACUGCUGCUGUCAUAAAGGUGAGGAAUGCUGCGUUAAGACUAUCAGGUGCAGCAGGACGCGUGGCAGCACGCUACGAGCAGAUAACCUGCUCCGCCGCGACCGUACGCAACCCGAUUGCCAAACGUCCUCCAGUUUGAUCCGAAACAAACACUGACGAAUGGGUCGUCAUGAACCGGGGAGGAUGCUGAAAGAACAGACUCUCUGAAGAAUACAAAGCGUACGUUGCUUUAGCUUGAGUCAGAGUUGAACUGGGUGGAGGUUGAUAACCGUAGCCCGGGGUGAUGAAAAUCUGGCCCUCUCGCUUUCUCGCUCUUUCUUACCUCUUCCACUCCACCCUUUUCUGGUAAAAGGGUGUAUGAGGUAAAGAGAGGGCAAAGUUUAUAUCUUUUCUGAAUGUUAUGCUCCUUUCUGGCCGACACAGUGAAGUAGAUACUACUUCACACAGUGAAGAAUCUACUCAGACACCCUAGCAACUGCAUAGCAGCGCCCUGGAUACAAUCUAAAACACCGUACAUCACAAUGGCGUAAGUGUAAAUGUAAAUUGUGAAAUAAAAAAACAUCUAGUUAUUUUUGUG